GAGAAACACAGAGAGUCAAGAUGUAACGCCAUGGGGUAGGAAGCACGGAAAGUUCUCCGGAGAUCCCUGGCUCUAAUCUUCUUUGCUUAGUUUCCUCCAUGACUAUGACCAAUAACAACUUGCAAUCAACCCCCUCAAUGAGGAUAAACAAACAAAAACCAUCCACCUCACCUAUUGGGGAUUUCAAAAACUAGUGUCAAACCUUCAUCCAGUGACUGAUGGAAGCAGAGACAGAUACCCAC